rnacentral:siRNA from 1 species
AGGAAGGGCGCCCAGGACCAUUCC